rnacentral:rRNA from 1 species
UACGAGGGGGGCGAGCGUUGUUCGGAAUUAUUGGGCGUAAAGGUGCGUAGGCGGUUUGGUAAGUCUGAUGUGAAAUCUAUGGGCUCAACUCAUAGUCUGCAUCGGAAACUGCCGGGCUUGAGUGUGGGAGAGGUGAGUGGAAUUCCUGGUGUAGCGGUGAAAUACGUAGAUAUUAGGAGGAACACCGGUGGCGAAGGCGGCGAUCUGGUCCAAUACUGACACUCGAUACACGAAAGCGUGGGGAUCAAACAGG